CAGCCAAAACCAAAUUAAUGAACCAAAAUCCCAGCAGUUCGUCCGCACCGCCUAAAUAAGUAAAUAUCCCACGUUCUCCAUCUUCCUCCUCCUCCCACCACGAUUUCCAUAGUUAAGGAUCGAGUUUCCAAUCGAAAUAGUUCAAUCUAAAUCCAAAUCCAAAUCCAAAAGUUCAAUCCCAAUCUAUGUUGACUCAAAUCGAAAUUUCCCAAAUCCAAAAUUACAGUGUUUCAAUCCAAACCAGAUGUUUUCGUAUUUAGCUUCUUCUCCGGCGAACGUUUCUCGGCGGCGACAAUUAUUUGGCGAAUGUAUUUCCUGGCUGCGCGUGGUUAACUAUCAAGUAUCCUCUAAACAAUGAAAAUUACAAGGGCACACGAAAAGGAGUUCAAGUUGAUUUGUGUAAGACUAUAGAUAGAGCACUUUUUGGUUUUCGAACCCAAAAAGGAUUGUUGAAGAAAAUUAAAAUGAGCACCAAUUGGAUACAGAUACAAUGUCCUCGGCAAAAGAAUGUCAUGGAUUCUGGAUAUUAUGUCAUGAGAUACAUGAAAGAUAUCAUUGACCAUAAGCAAACUCGAAUAUUUGAAGAUUACUUUCAUGAUUGCAAUGUUCCGAAUUAUGAUCAAGGACAAAUUGAUGAAGUCAGAGCUCAAUGGACGCGUCAUGUUCUUCUCAUGUGAAUAUUGUGAUGUAUUAAUUAUGUUUUUCGAAUAGAAUUUCUCUAGAACGUUUUAAUUUUAUUUUAUUGGUUUGAAAUUAAAAGAAGUACUAUAUGACAAGGAUACUUCUUUCUGUUUUGUAGUGUGUUUUUAUUCUACUGUGUAUUUAGGCAUAUAUGAUUUUAAGUUAUGUACGAGACACCGAGAAAUUUAUUUGAUAUGAUAGAAAUGAAGUUGGGUCUUAUAUGUAUUCAA